AUUGAACGCUGGCGGAAUGCUUUACACAUGCAAGUCGAACGGCAGCACGGGGGCAGCCCUGGUGGCGAGUGGCGAACGGGUGAGUAAUACAUCGGAACGUGCCCGGUCGUGGGGGAUAACGUAGCGAAAGUUACGCUAAUACCGCAUACGAUCUGAGGAUGAAAGCGGGGGACCUUCGGGCCUCGCGCGAUCGGAGCGGCCGAUGUCAGAUUAGGUAGUUGGUGGGGUAAAGGCCUACCAAGCCGACGAUCUGUAGCUGGUCUGAGAGGACGACCAGCCACACUGGGACUGAGACACGGCCCAGACUCCUACGGGAGGCAGCAGUGGGGAAUUUUGGACAAUGGGCGCAAGCCUGAUCCAGCCAUUCCGCGUGCAGGACGAAGGCCUUCGGGUUGUAAACUGCUUUUGUACGGAACGAAAAGGCUCUGGCUAAUACCUGGGGAUCAUGACGGUACCGUAAGAAUAAGCACCGGCUAACUACGUG
rnacentral:rRNA from 1 species